CAACAGAAACGCAUCUGUCUUCUGGGCACACCACUCAAACACCACCACCUGAACCCAUAUCCUCCGCACACCCACCUGGCCCCGGGGGCCCCUGGUUCAGCUGCACAGAGCCCCAAAGCAGAUCUCUCCCCUCCCUCCCCGCAGGCAGAAACCAGAGCAGGACACCAGGGCUGGAGCACAAAUGCAACAGAUUUUAUUUCAUCUCAUUUGGCUGCUCGCUGUCGGAGGGCUGGCGAUGGGUUGGCCCCAGCUCUAGCCACCGUGCCGUCUUAACGGUACUUGGCGGUCAGCACAGUGCCCACGGCGCACAAGAACUUGUCCAGGGAAGCAUGGACCUCCGGGGUCAGGGCAGCAGGGUGGUGGAUGGCCACCACCACCAGGAAGCAUUGGCCCAGGAGUUUGAAGUUGACAGGGUCCACGCGGAGCUUGUGGGCAUGGAGGUCGCUGAGCUUGGAGAGGGUGCCGGCGAUGUCAUCAAUGUGGUUGGCAGCCUCGAUCAAGGCAGCCACUACCUUCUUGCCGUGCCCCUUGAUCUGAGCGGAGCCGUGUGACAGAUCGAAGUGGGGGAAGUAGGUCUUGGUUGGGGGGUAGGUGGUGAACAUCCUUUCCAGGGUCUCGGCGCCAUACUCCUCAGCAUGGCCGGCGAUUUUGGUGAAGAUGCCCUUGACGUUGUUCUUGUCAGCAGCGGACAGCACCAUGGUUGCACCUCUGUGUUGGCAGCCCCCAGCACGGGUGCCCCUGAAGUCUGC
rnacentral:lncRNA from 1 species